rnacentral:rRNA from 1 species
UACGGAGGAUGCGAGCGUUAUCCGGAUUUAUUGGGUUUAAAGGGUGCGUAGGCGGGUUAUCAAGUCAGCGGUAAAAUCGUGGAGCUCAACUCCAUCCAGCCGUUGAAACUGGGGAUCUAGAGUGUGCGAGAGGUAUGCGGAAUGCGUGGUGUAGCGGUGAAAUGCGUAGAUAUUAGGAAGAACACCAGUGGCGAAGGCGGAUUACUGGACGACAACUGACGGUGAGGCGCGAAAGCGUGGGGAGCAAACAGG